rnacentral:pre_miRNA from 1 species
GAAAUCAAGCUUGGGUUAGACCUGGUUUUUAUUCACUGAGGCGACCCAUACUUGGUUUCUG